AAAAAAUAAAACAACUUAUCUGUCAUUUCUCUUGUACGUACGCGAGAAAAGUUUGUUUAAAUUUUGUGAAUUUUAAAUUUGAUUUAUUUCAGAAAUUUGUGAGUUUAAUCAAAUAUUCACUACAACGAUGAAUGUGUACAUUUUGGCUGGAGUAUAUAUGUAUUCAUCAAAACCUCAGAAAACUAGAGCAAGAGAGAUCCGUCGGCUCUAUCGAAAGAUCCUGAUCCAUAAUAGUUCAAUGUACAUACAGAUACCACCCACUGGAAACUACUUGGGAUCUACCACCACCACCGAUAAGGCAAACAUUCGCGAACUAAAGAUGAAUGGUAAGUGCACCGAUGCACCUUCCCGUUCCGGACGGUCGACCAAUGUACGCUUUUGCUGCUCCCAUGCACUACUGGUCUUAUGAUUUCACCAAGGAUAACGGUACUACCGGAACAGGUUGCGUCUGCUACUUCUACCUUCUCAGAACAUUCAAUCGAAGGAAACGGAAGCAUCCCUUUCAUCACACAAUUUAUGCGGAGGCAACAAUAUCGUUGAUGCAGGAGAAUCGACUAGAGAAAGUUCUACAUGAUGAUCGGGCACACCUAUAUCUGGCUAUUUGAUAAUAUAUUACAGCUAAUCGUGAUUAUCUUGUGAGUAAAAUAUACAUAUUUUUCCCAAAAGAACAAA